AUGCCGGCGACCCCUCAAACCAGGUCCCCAUGGCUUCACCAACCAACAAGGUACAGUUCUGCUAAGAUUCAUCUCAAGGUUUUUAAUCUUUGCUAUGAUCUCCAUCUAGUUUGGCAACAAAAUUUGCGGGGGUCUAUGGUAGGUUCUACCGCUGCAAGUUCUCAAACUCUCAAGAGAAAUUCAGAUGACAUGGGUUGGGAGUUCGCAACCUUGAUUGAUCCUCUAGAUUUAUCGCGAGUGAAGUGCAAGUUGUGUGGAAAAGAGAUGUUUGGAGGGAUCAAUAGGAUGAAGCAACAUAUUGCUCAAAUCAGGGGGCAAGUCGCACCCUGCACGGUGGCCAACGCGGUUCAGCAAAAGAGGUGUAGGGAAGCUUGUGAGGCAUCAUGA
rnacentral:rRNA from 1 species